UCCCCAGUGGUCUAGUGGUUAAGACUCUGCACUCCCACUGCAGGGAACACAUGUUUGAUCCCUGAUUGGGAAA
rnacentral:tRNA from 1 species